UAUAUUAAGUUACAUGGAAAUUUGAAUUACAAAUUUUGAACAACCAAAUUUACACAAGUGAAAAAAAAUGUACUUUCUUAUAUACAUAUAGAAAUUUUUCUCCUUAUAAAUAACUAGGUAUAAAAUAUUAGCCAUAAAUUGCCAAGAAAAGGAAGAUCUGUUUGCCUAAAAAUAAUGACCAUAUAUGACUUCAGAGCCCCAACUUUACUUUCUUCUUUUGGAAAUGUUAAUCAGGGCAUUUAUUGUGUAUUUAUAUGGGUGGAAAAGAGAUUCCAUAAAAUAUUUAUCAGUUUACUUAUCAAUAUUUAAUAUUUAUGCUUAAUUUUAGACCUAUUUUUAUAGUUACAAAAAAAUUUUAGAGUAUAAAAUUGGGUAAGUAGAUAAUUCAGUGAUUGUAAAAUUUUAGGAAAGAAUAAACACUUUGGAGAACUUUUUUACAUAUUGUCAUGGUGAAUAAGCAUUUUAAACUGUAUUUUAAACCAGCACUUGUGACCUUGUAGAAUGUACUGAAUGUCUAAAACCCUUGAGAAAUGUUACAUCCCAGAUUGUUAGGAUAGAAACCGUGUGGAUGUAUUCUUAUCCUAUCCCACUCUCAGCAAGGAAAAGGUUUGAUACAACAUGGUGAGGAAAGUAAUUAAUAUAUAAUUUUUAAAGACCUCAAUUUAUUUAAAUCUGCAUAAAUUGAAUCCUCAGUAGUAUUAGUCUUUCAAUGUUUAACUUUUUAGAAGAAAAAGAGUAAAUCUUAAGAAACAAAUUUUGUGCUAUUAAUUUUGUGAAAGGUUUCCAGAGAAUAUUCUAGACCAAGGGGUACAUUUAAGUAAUCUUUUUUAGGUAUGUAUGCUAACAGUGAAACUUAGUAUUCAGAAAUAGGACUCUGGGGUCUAUUACUGUCUCAAACACUUAAGAUUGUUCUGUUUCUUUUAUUCUACUCAUUCCUUUGGCAUUCUCAUAUAAUUUAAAAAGAGAAAUAUUUCAAUAACAAAGGCCAGAAUAAAAAGAAUUUCAAUCAAGCCAAAAAGUGUAUUAAAGUAAUAUAUUUCUCUUGUGUCUUGAAAAUUUUUUUUCUCAUACAUUUGCUUUUACCUGUUUUCCUAAAAUAGAUGAAGGAGCAUUGGUCAGAGCUGCCAAGCAACUGAAUUUCGUUUUCACUGGAAGAACACCGGACUCAGUGAUUAUAGAUUCACUGGGGCAAGAAGAAAGAUAUGAAUUACUCAAUGUCCUGGAGUUCACCAGCGCUAGAAAAAGAAUGUC